GUAUCUGUAGGUGAACCUGCAGAUGGAUCAUCG
rnacentral:rRNA from 1 species